rnacentral:tRNA from 1 species
GGAGGUAUGUUCAAUGGUAAAACACAUGCUUAACAUGCAUGAGGCCCUGGGUUCAAUCCCCAGUACUACCA